AUUGCGUCCUGAAUGUUGUUAUCUUACGGGAAAUAAUUUUGUAUACAUUCUUAAAUUUCCAAAUCAUUUACUUGUCUUGAAUUUGGAUCUACUUGAUCCUUUAUCUUUUUAUCCAAGACCCAAAAUUUUGAAUUCAUGAAUAAUAGAUCUUUUAUCACAAGCUUCUUGAAGCUUUUGCAGAACAUAUUUCGUAAUAAAUGCAAAUUUAUCUGUAUUUGUUCCACUUUUCUUUAUAUUGGUUUGGGAUCAAUAAGACGUUGUUUUGUGAUGUUGUAUACUAUAGCAGUGUAAAAAUUGUAAAAACUCACUGCUUUAAAAGGUGAUCUAUUUUCUGAAAUAAUGCGUUUUAAUCUACCAGAACGAACAUCUUUUGUAGUAUAGGUUUAAGGUCUUGGAAUCUCCCAAAAUUGACUAUUUCUAUAAAUGGGUAUCUUGAGUAUUUAUCUACAAGUUGAUGAUAUAUAUUUAUGUUUUGGAAAGGGGCUUGCAUUAUCAAUGUCAAGAAUUACAAAUGGUUUGUUUGAAAUUCCCAUUAAUUGUAAUGGUUCUUGAAAACUCGUGUUGUCAGUAACUUGAUGAGCUAGACAUUUCCGAAUUUCUUGUUUAGUUAAUUUCUCGAUGUUUGAAACUAAACAUUUGAUUUUAACAAUUGUUUUGUUUUAACAAUGUCUUCAUGUGCCCAAAUGCUCUAAAUCGUUUUAAGUUGUAAUAAUGUUGGGAUAACUACUGUUACGUCCGGACCUCAGAAUUAUAUUUAAUUUGAUAGUUGAGUGAGAGAGUUCCAGAAGCGUCACCGCUCACUGAGCGGUUAGAUAGCGGCUAUUCGUGAGCGCUCAAAAAGCGGUCUUUCACGUAUUGGAUAUAAGCUCACACGUACAUACGUCAUCUAUUAUGGCGUCGUCCAUGGUAUAAAGUGGAGGUGAAGGUUAAUAAAGGAUAAGUUUAAAUUUUCAUAAAAUAUUAACAAUAAUGAAUCGACAAAAUAUUGCACUUAUUUUUCAAAAUAUAAGUAAUGAUGAUAACGUUAUUGUGCUUGUGUAUGUAGUGGUACUUGACAAUGAAUGCAGGUCUCGAAGGGAUCUCCGCGUCCAAUAAAUAAAUAAUGACGAAGUUUGAGGAUGUAGUGUUCUUGUUUUUCUGGAGGAGAUUGAAGGUAACAGUUAUCGCAGACGUGAUUACUUCGGUCUAUUCGAUGUUCGAAGAAACUCGCGACCGUGCAUUGAGCUGUAGAUAUCCAAGAUAGGAAUUCAGGGGAUUGCGUAUUUAAGGGUUGACUACUACGUGAUGCCCCUUCAGAAGAGGUCAUCUCGAUAUAAAGAAUUACAAGGUUGUGUUUCGGAAGAUAUAAACGGAAAAAUCUGGCAAAAUUUCGAAACAGUGACCGGAGUGAGUCAGAGUUAUUAAACGAUAACGGUCAAUUGAUCGUUCGGCUACCUCGUGUUCAGUUAAGAGUUUUAGAUGUUCUUGUGUGCAGACGUAGCACUGAGAUAGGGAUUUUUCGGUUAGGACACUGUUCCCACAAUCGUAGCAAUUGGCGUGAAUUUCAAUACCGUUUCUGACGAAAUGCGAGAAUACAUGCUGAUAUGCGAAUCCAAGUCCAGAGUAGGAUUUUAUCACAAAGCAAUUAUCACAGAGAUAGUAGUCUCCGUUUGUCAAGAUGUGGCACGUCAAUUUUGAGCACCAGGCAAUUCUCAGAUGUAGUAGCGAGGUUGCCGAUGGUGGUGAUGUCAGAUAUAUUGGGUGUGGCCGUUUGCGAUGCCAGCACAUCUGUAACACAUCAAAUGUAAUAUUACAUUAAUAUCAUCCGGGGUCAACGUGUGCCCUCUUCAAUUUGUCCAUGUGUACAAUGCGUGUUUUAUUGUUAACCUGCAACUUAACGUUAUUAUUAGGUAAAACUUCAACGAUCUGAUACGGUCCGCAAUAUUGGUCCGCAAAUUUACCCUUUCGUGGUUCCUUUAAUAAGAAUGCAUAAGAACCUACUUCGAAAUUUUGGGAGUUUAUUCGUUUGUCAUAGUAAUACUUGCUUCUUUCCUUUGCCUGGAUCAAAUUUAGUCGUGCUUCAUGCUGCGUAUUAUAUAAUUUAUUAAAAAGAUCGGUUAAAUAAUCUUGAUAGGUAAUUUUUAAAUUUCCUUCGAUAGGAAUAUGUGCGGAGGGUAACCGGGCUAGUCGACCGAAAACUAGUUCAAAAGGUGAGUAUUUGGUUCCUUCAUGAACACUCGUAUUGUAAGAAAAUAUGGCUAAAUCAAUAUACUCAUCCCAUUCCCUUUCAUUAUCAACCUGAGUUCGUAGAUACUCCAUCAAAACGUGAUGAGAUCUUUCAAUAGAUCCGUUCGAUUGGGGAUGAUAAGCUGUAGUGUUGUAUGUUAAAUUUCUUCGUUAAAUUCCUCAUAAGUGCAGAUAGAAAAUUUGUUCCUUGAUCUGUAAGUAUGGCCUUAGGGGCGCCGUAUAUACAAAUAAACUUUUUAGCAAAUGCGUUAGCAAUCGAUAGAGAAGUUGCGAUAUCGAGAGGUAUUGCUACAGAGUACUUGGUUAACAAAUCUUGAAUUGUUAAAAUAUAUUGAUUUCCUUUAUCAGUGAUGGGAAGCGGUCCCAUUAUAUCCAAAGCUACCUUAUCAAAAGCAGAUCCGGGGGUAUCGGUGAUUAUCAUGGGUUGCUUAGUCUUAACUCUUGUCAGUUUCCUUAGUUGACACUGUCGACAUUUCCUGAUAAAUUCUUGUAUAUCCUUUUUCAUGGUCUUUCAAUAAUAAUUUAUUCUUAUCCUAUUAUAGAUCUUUGUUACUCCCUUAUGUCUGCCGUGCGCAGACGUAUGAUUUUCAUUUAUCAGUGCUUCUCGUUCUCCUGGCUCAGGAGUGUGUAUUAAAUUUUUACAUAUGGUUAUUUUUACAGGCACCUCUUCAAAGUGAUCUCGAAUUCUUCUCAGUAUGUAGUGCCAUUGUAAAUCAUCGAAAGAAUCGGUUUUGUUCAUACUAAAAGAUUCUAGUUGGAGUUCCUUUAUUUUUGUGGAUGCAUUAGUAAUGCACUUGACGUGCAUUACAAUUUUUAUGGAUACAUUUGGUUUUUUUGGAAUUAUCCACAAGGGAGAGUUGUAUGAGCAAUCAGAAGGAGGGGUUACGUCGUUUUCUAGGAGGGUUUUCACUUGUUUAUUUACUUCCUCCUUGUGGAUCGGUUGGAGCGAUAUUGCUUGGUAUUGAUAGGAUGUUUGUCUGUGGUGGUACUGUGUUGUAUACGGUUCGUGAAACCGAGUUUAUCGCUGGGAAUUUAGAAAAGGUCAUAUCAUUGCUGUUAUUUUGGUUAAUCUGUAUUCAUUGAUUUUACCAGUGGAGAACUUCAGAAGAAAAUGCUUCUUGUUUUGGUGAAGUUUGAGGGAAAGGUUUUUAGGGAAUUAACCCCACGUGUUGUGCAUCUCUUAAGACGGUUUGUUACUCCGCAAAGGCUUGAUCGAGCAGAAUCCGAGCUGCUCUCCGGGCUGCUUGGCGGGCUGUUACGUGCCGCGACGCAACGACGCCGCACGUUAUCGAUAGGUCCUCUUCAGUUCCUAAGCUGACCCUAUGUUUGGGUCCGUAACCUAAUAUGCCUAACCGUAAUAAACAUAAAUACUUAUACCCUUUGGUAUCUACUGUUUACUUAAUAUAAACGCUCCACCCGCGAGACUCUAAACGAAGAUCUCUCUUGAGCGAACAGUUAGUUCUGUGUCGUCUCUCGUAGCGAAUACACCUCGCUUUAUAAUUGUCCAGAAUAAAGUAUUUCGUAAGUGAACAGUUGUCGAUUUACUUCUAUACCUUACGUGGCUUUAACUCGUAACAGGGCGCGCCUGGUUCGACGAUUCCGCAAGGUGGCUUGCUGGAGUCAUGCAGUGAAAGACAACACUUUACGCAGCUGAAUUAAUUCCACUUUAAUUAUUUAAUUACAUUUUGGGCUCAGUAUCAACGUAAGGCCUAAAUCUAAAGAGUUAUCUCAAGUCGAAAAUGUCCUUUAUGUAUUGUAUAUCUCGCAAGAUACAAUAAGACGUGCAUUACAAUUUUUAUGGAUGCACUUGACGACAUUUGUAGUUUUUGUUUAGGAAUAUGAUUGAACAAUAUCGUUUGACAAAGUUCAAAUCUCAACCAGCGACACUAAAUAAUUCACUAAAAAUAUUUUUAUGUUAGCAAUGCCAUGCUUUGUAAUAUCUUGAUAAAUAAUCGGUGUAAGAAAAAUUAUUUUUAAUAAUGCAAAGCAUGCUCAAAAAGAAUUAAGCAAAAAAAAGUAUUAAAGACUUAAAGUAUUAUAAUAAUAAAAUAUUAAAUACUUAAGUAUUAAAUACUUUAAAAAAUAUUAAACAGAACUUAAAAUUGUAACGGAUAAGGCUCUUACGAAUAAACAAUUCAAAUAUCAGGAAGGAGCGUUAAAGAGCCAAAAGCAUGGUGAACUUUGCUUAAGUGAUUAUAAUUUUAACAUAAAUAAAUUAAGAAUAAUCGACAAAAUACAAUGCAAAAAACAGUAUCAAAAAAACCUCUGACGUUUCGACCCUAAAUAUGUGGUCAUCUUCAGAGAGGUAGGCGGUAACGCAUUAUAUAAAAAACAUAACUUACAUAUUAUUCGUAUCUUAUUAUAAAUACUAUUCGCAACGGUAACAAUCAAGAUGGUAUUAAUCGGCUUGGAGGAUCCUGGCUUAGUCCUUUCAUUUUUAUGAUGUCCUCUUACAAAUAUGUGCGGUAAUCCAUGAUUUUAACGUAUAAGUUUGAAAAGAUAUUUUUAACAUGGAGGUUUCUAGGAAACGAGAAAUCAUAGGAAAAAAAUUAGAUUUAAAUUAGGAUCCGUCAAUCUUCCGAAUAAAACAACACCGAAUAAAUAGUUACAAAUUACCGACUAAAACCAUGUAAAAAGAACUUAAUAACAAGAACAAAUAUGAUGAAUCAAGUCAAAAAGUUAAUAUACCAAAACGGUAAGUUGGAAAUUCUUUUUUAAAAAAAAUUUUUU